GUUUCUCACCUUGACAACUGUACAUACCACACCAUACCCACUAUCAAAUGUCUAGUUAUCACCUACCAACCAACCAAUCGAACUCCUCUAUGUGGGUUCCACCCUCUUCCCCUCUGUCCAGAGGUCCUGUCAGAGAUGGUUUCUAGGUACCAGAGGUUGGUCCCAAGGCACUGUUCCAGAUUCUUUGUCCUAUUGCCAAGCAUAUCCUGUGAAGACAGAUAAUUACACUAGGAUCUAGUGUGAACCACGUCCAGACCUACUAUUUAUAGAUUUUGCUCUCAAGAUGGGACAGAGAUGUUUGUUUUAACACUGCUGACACAUUCUAACUUGACUGCAGCCCCUCACUAUACAGCUGACAUGUAAGCAGCUGGUGACUAUUGUAGACUCAGUUUCAUAAAGAAUGCAUGACAGUUUGCCUGGUUUCUUCCUCUGUUCUAGGGCACUUU